rnacentral:rRNA from 1 species
GAUGAACGCUGGCGGCGUGCCUAACACAUGCAAGUCGAACGGUGAAAGCGGAGCUUGCUCUGCUGGAUCAGUGGCGAACGGGUGAGUAACACGUGAGCAAUCUGCCCCUGACUCUGGGAUAAGCGCUGGAAACGGCGUCUAAUACCGGAUACGAGCUGCGAAGGCAUCUUCAGCAGCUGGAAAGAACUUCGGUCAGGGAUGAGCUCGCGGCCUAUCAGCUAGUUGGUGAGGUAACGGCUCACCAAGGCGUCGACGGGUAGCCGGCCUGAGAGGGUGACCGGCCACACUGGGACUGGGACACGGCCCAGACUCCUACGGGAGGCAGCAGGGGGGAAUAUUGCACAAUGGGCGAAAGCCUGAUGCAGCAACGCCGCGUGAGGGACGACGGCCUUCGGGUUGUAAACCUCUUUUAGCAGGGAAGAAGCGAAAGUGACGGUACCUGCAGAAAAGGCGCCGGCUAACUACGUGCCAGCAGCCGCAGUAA